GUGACUAUAGUUCAAUGGUAGAACAUCGGUUUGUGGUACCGAGUACGAGGGUCCGAUUCCCUCUAGUCACCCA
rnacentral:tRNA from 1 species